GAGUGCGAUCAUACUAGUGUUAAUGUACCAGAUCCUAUUAGAACUCCACAGUUAAGCGUGUUUGGGCUAGAGUAGUAUUGGGAUGGGUGACCUCCCAGGAAUUCCUAAUGUUGCACCCU
rfam:Picea glauca, whole genome shotgun sequence.